GAUCAUGGCUCAGAACGAACGCUGGCGGCAAGGCCUAAAACAUGCAAGUUGAACGGCUGUAGCAAUACAGCAGUAGCGCACGGGUGAGUAAUAUAUGGGAACAUGUCUUUUGGUGGGGAAUAUUCUCUGGAAACGGAGAGCAAUACCGCAUAAGCCCUACGGGGGAAAGAUUUAUCGCCGAUAGAGUGGCCCAUAUUGGAUUAGCUAGUUGGUUGGGUAACGGCUGACCAAGGCGACGAUCCAUAGCUGAUCUGAGAGGAUGAUCAGCCACACUGGGACUGAGACACGGCCCAGACUCCUGCGGGAGGCAGCAGUUAGGAAUAUUGGACAAUGGGGGCAACCCUGAUUCCCAGCCAUGCCGCGUGAGUGUUAAGGCCUUCGGGUUGUAAAGCUCUUUUGUAUGGGAAAAUGAUGAUGGUACCAUAAGAAUAAGCACCGGCUAACUUCGUGCCAGCAGCCGC
rnacentral:rRNA from 1 species